rnacentral:rRNA from 1 species
AUUGAACGCUGGCGGCAGGCCUAACACAUGCAAGUCGAGCGGUAACAGGGGUAGCUUGCUACCCGCUGACGAGCGGCGGACGGGUGAGUAAUGCAUAGGAAUCUGCCCGAUAGUGGGGGAUAACCUGGGGAAACCCAGGCUAAUACCGCAUACGUCCUACGGGAGAAAGGGGGCUYCGGCUCYCGCUAUUGGAUGAGCCUAUGUCGGAUUAGCUAGUUGGUGAGGUAAUGGCUCACCAAGGCAACGAUCCGUAGCUGGUCUGAGAGGAUGAUCAGCCACAUCGGGACUGAGACACGGCCCGAACUCCUACGGGAGGCAGCAGUGGGGAAUAUUGGACAAUGGGCGAAAGCCUGAUCCAGCCAUGCCGCGUGUGUGAAGAAGGCCCUCGGGUUGUAAAGCACUUUCAGCGAGGAAGAACGCCUAGUGGUUAAUACCCAUUAGGAAAGACAUCACUCGCAGAAGAAGCACCGGCUAACUCCGUGCCAGCAGCCGCGGUAAUACGGAGGGUGCAAGCGUUAAUCGGAAUUACUGGGCGUAAAGCGCGCGUAGGUGGCUUGAUAAGCCGGUUGUGAAAGCCCCGGGCUCAACCUGGGAACGGCAUCCGGAACUGUCAAGCUAGAGUGCAGGAGAGGAAGGUAGAAUUCCCGGUGUAGCGGUGAAAUGCGUAGAGAUCGGGAGGAAUACCAGUGGCGAAGGCGGCCUUCUGGACUGACACUGACACUGAGGUGCGAAAGCGUGGGUAGCAAACAGGAUUAGAUACCCUGGUAGUCCACGCCGUAAACGAUGUCGACCAGCCGUUGGGUGCCUAGCGCACUUUGUGGCGAAGUUAACGCGAUAAGUCGACCGCCUGGGGAGUACGGCCGCAAGGUUAAAACUCAAAUGAAUUGACGGGGGCCCGCACAAGCGGUGGAGCAUGUGGUUUAAUUCGAUGCA